CUGGUCUGUUCUGAAUUUUCUCUUCAUGUCUAAACAACUUCUUCCUACUUGCUCAAUUUCCACUCAACCCCCACAAAUUAUACAUCAAAACGUAGGUAUUUUUGCUGGCUUUCAGACAAUGUCACUAUCUUUAUUGUGAGAUUCACCGUUUUUUCGCAAUUUGCCUCGAAGUGACACAAGGUGUGACAACUCCCCAUUCAAAUCUAUAGGGAGGUUUUGAAAUUCAGAGCUGAAAUUCUGUAACGGGAGGCAUUUUUAGAUCAUCUUGUUUCUUUUUCUACAUACAGAACCUUCUGCCUCUUUUCAGCAGAAAUUCUGCUCAUUCACCUCUUUUCAGCGCAACAUUCUGCUUCUUUGCCUCUUUUCUGCAGAAAUUCAGCUGAUUC
ensembl:lncRNA